UUGAGUGUAAAAGUUGGUAUUUUUUUAUGUAGAAAUGAUUUACUCAUUAAUACCUACAAUUUGGUAUAUGAGUCGACCCUAGGUCAUUCACUUUGAAAAACGGGGAUUUAGGGUACCAUACGGUAGGUAGGUGGUUACAGGGAGCGGUACACCCCUGUACAUAUGUUAUAGCGGCCUAUUUCAAAUGUUUACAAUUGUUACGAAUAAUUCAAUUAAUUAUUUCGACGUCGUUAGCAUUGGGUAAAUGUCGAUUCUUAUAGUUUUUUGGUCGCUGAUUUCGAAUCUGAGGUCAGUUUUUCGAUUGCGACAUCAUGGGAAGGGGCACAGGGCCAAUUAAUUAUGUUAAUAUAACACAUAAAAUUAUAAAGCUGCAAAUAUAAGGCUUGGUUUGGUAGUAAUUUAUGAAUCAAUUAGAAGUUGACAUAAAUUCAUGUAACUUUGUCAAUCGGAGAGUGCUUCCCAUCACCUAUGCUAAUAUGUGAUUAAUAAUCUACAUGCCAACUGCAACUUCGUCUCUUCACAGUCUUCACAGUCUUCGAUGCUUACUUCGACGAUGAAAAAACUUCAAUUUUCGAAAACCCUGGUACCUUUUGGAACCAGUGUGCACUCACAUUUCGUUCCCACGAAUUAAUUUUUUAACCAUGGAUACAAGAAUCAGUGAAAUCUUUUAAAAGUACUAUGAAUUUUAAUUAUAUUGUGAAUUUGUGUUUAUAUCAUCCUAUUUGUACUUUGUACUUACUGACUACAAGUGAUUAGUAAUAAAGAAUCAGUGCAGUUGUAAAUGUGAAAUCGGCUAUUUCGGCGUUCCGGCAGAAAUUUUUGUGCUUUAAUUACCGUUAGCGACGGCCCAAAUAAUUAGCAUUUCAAAAAUGGAGGUUUUUAAGGCUAUCGAAGCAACUGUCGUAACCUUGUAUUAUGAUAAAUUGUCAAGCAAUCUUGUUAAAUUGCUUAUAAAACUUGAAAUUAUCAAAAUUUUGUCAGAAUCAGAAAUAAAUAAAUGUCACAUGCAAGUCAACCUGACCGAUUCUACAAGGUAAUUUCCAACCCUGCUAAUGGGGACUGCUUGUUCCACGCCAUAUCUCAAGGCCUAUUGCAGCAUUACCAGGUAAAAAGGUCUCACAAAAAGGUUAGAAAAGAGGUGGUCCGAUAUUUAUGCAAAUUAUUGAAAACGGAAUCUCACACUCGGCAAGAGAAGUGGAGUGCAAUCGUGCACAAUGAGUUGGAGGUGUGGUGGAGGGUCCAAGAUUAUUUGGCGACUGGGAUAAAAGACGAAACGCCGUCCUCUUUCUCGAAGUUCAGGCGUCGCUACCGUAAAAAGAUGGGGUCGUUGGGAGAACCAGGAACUAAAUUAGAAUUGCUGGCAGCUGCUAAUUUGUUCAAUUUCAAUGCAUUCUACUACGAAAUGGGGAAGAAUUCUAAAAACUGCAAGGGAAUAAUUUCUUUCAAGACGUCUCCUAUUCCAAUUAUCUCAUUUAAGGAAAUAGCACCUCCCCAAGAACCAAAGUCAACUUGUCGACGUGACCUUUGUUUAAUGCAUUCUUAUGAUCAUGCAAUUAAUUGUUAUGCUGGACAUUGGGAACUUUUGAUCCCUUGUAAUGAAAAUUGUCAAGUUUAGCUUUGCCAUGCAAUUAUAUAUUUUCAUAUCAUGAAAUGGCUGACUGCCUUAGCAAGAAUUCCAUAAGAAGAGAUUGUGCAUUGAACAAUAAAUCUUAAUACACAAGAAUUUUCAUGAUUUUCAUUUUGCAAACGAAAAA